rnacentral:lncRNA from 1 species
AUGAAAGGUUACGUGUGCCAGCUCUAUUUACAUCCCGGUCUGGGCUCGUUAAUGCAGAUUAAUUCUAAAACUCUUCCUCCUCCUCCUGAUUUCCCGAUUUCUCUGCCCCCGGAUCCUGAGAGUUCGCGGAGUUCGUCGGCCGUCCCGGCGCGGGGCCUUCAGCGCCUCGGGGCUCGGCAGAGCGCGGAAGGGCCGCCGCGACCGGGCCGCGCCGGGUCGAUGGCGUUUAGAACCGCCGUGACCGAAACGAACGGCCGAGAAACCGGUCAGCGCACGCGGCUCUCCGCUGCCGACUCCGCUUCCAGCCCCGACCGAACGACCGUUCCGCCGGGCCGCGAGGCAGCGGCCCGCCCCCCCAGGCUGUGUCGCGCAGGUGCGGCGCCGCGCGCUGCACGCCGGGAGUUGCAGUCAGCGCGGGGCUCCCGGGCGGCGCCGCAUCGCCGGGGCGAAGGCCGAGGGACGGCGCACCUCAGCGAGCGGGGGCCGCAGCGCGAGCUCCCCGGGCUCGCGCCGCCCUCUCCCGUCGCGCUGGCGGAGACGCGCCGGCGCUCGGCGGGCCGAGGUGGAAACGCGCGUCUGCGCCUUCUCGUGCCCCUCUUCGCCCCUCGGGGACGGGGACCGCGGAGCUCGCCCUCGCGCUCCUCCCUCCUCCCGCGCGCGGAUGGCACGGCCCUUCGGCGGCCGGCGCCCCGCUCCCAGCCGGCUCGGCGGGCUGCGCGGCCGGCCCUGCUCAGCCCGGGUGCUGCGUGCGCCCGCCCUCCCCGCUCUUGGAAGCGCUCUCUCCAUUGGCUGCGGCCGGGCGCUCUUGCCAAUCAGGAAGCGGCUAUCAUGGAGGAAGGGAAUAAAUACAAGAUGGCUGCUCGUAUAAAACCAGGCAUUGGGCUUCGCUCCGGCGAUGGGGGAAUUGAGGCUUUAACCCGCGCUCCGAGGGCCGCGCGCCGCCGUCGUCCGCGCUGCCGCCGCCUUUCCGGGCGGAGCGAGCCCCCGACCGCUAUCGACCACAGCCGCGUUCAGCCGCUGCCCGCGGAGCCCCGGCGGGGCCGAGGCCGGGCGCGGCGCACGAGAGGCCCGCAGCUAGGCCCCGCGCCUUCCCCCACGCCGCCGCGGCGCCGGCCCCCCGCCCGCCGUCCCGCCGCUCGCCUCCCGCCGGGCACCGCUCCGGGCGGCCAUGGCCGUCUCCAGGUCGGUAGGAGCCGGGAAGGGCGGGGGAAGGAGGCCCGGACGCCGCGGCGCUCCGUGUGCCCCGGCCUCGGGGUGGGGGCGUUAAGGAGGGCUGCCCGGUGCCCCCGCUUCCUUCGGAGCCCGCGGAGGCCUCGCGGGGCCGCCCCGUUGGCCUCGGGGCUGCCGGGGCCGGGGCUGCUGCCCGGCCGGGAGAGUCCGGGCGCAGGGAAGCCGAACACCCGUAACCCCCCCCCCUCACCCCCCCAUCCCCCUCCUUCCUUCAGGUUCAGGGCUCUGCCCCGCUUCCCUUCAUCCCGCUGCCGCGGGGUAGAACCGGGGGGGGUGGGGGUGACGCUGCCGUGUCUCGAAAACUGGGGAUAA